rnacentral:rRNA from 1 species
GACGAACGCUGGCGGCGUGCUUAACACAUGCAAGUCGAACGGUAAGGCCUUCGGGUACACGAGUGGCGAACGGGUGAGUAACACGUGGGUGAUCUGCCCCCUACUCUGGGAUAAGCCUGGGAAACUGGGUCUAAUACCGGAUGUGACCUCCUUCUGCAUGGUUGGUGGUGGAAAGUUUUUUCGGUAGGGGAUGAGCCCGCGGCCUAUCAGCUUGUUGGUGGGGUAAUGGCCUACCAAGGCGACGACGGGUAGCCGGCCUGAGAGGGCGACCGGCCACACUGGGACUGAGACACGGCCCAGACUCCUACGGGAGGCAGCAGUGGGGAAUAUUGCACAAUGGGCGAAAGCCUGAUGCAGCGACGCCGCGUGGGGGAUGACGGCCUUCGGGUUGUAAACCCCUUUCAGUCGGGACGAAGCGAGAGUGACGGUACCGAUAGAAGAAGCACCGGCCAACUACGUGCCAGCAGCCGCCGGUAACAC